UACGUAGGUGGCAAGCGUUGUCCGGAUUUACUGGGCGUAAAGGAUGCGUAGGCGGACAUUUAAGUCAGAUGUGAAAUACCCGAGCUUAACUUGGGUGCUGCAUUUGAAACUGGGUGUCUAGAGUGCAGGAGAGGUAAGUGGAAUUCCUAGUGUAGCGGUGAAAUGCGUAGAGAUUAGGAAGAACACCAGAGGCGAAGGCGACUUACUGGACUGUAACUGACGCUGAGGCAUGAAAGCGUGGGGAGCAAACAGG
rnacentral:rRNA from 1 species